GAACCCUUGGCGCAGCGGUAGCGCGUGUGAUUCCAGUUGGGAAAUCCACAAGGUCAUCCGUUCAAUCCGGGUAGGGUUCA
rnacentral:tRNA from 2 species